rnacentral:rRNA from 1 species
AACGAACGCUGGCGGCAGGCCUAACACAUGCAAGUCGAACGCCCUAGCAAUAGGGAGUGGCAGACGGGUGAGUAACACGUGGGAACGUGCCCUUCGGUUCGGAAUAACUCAGGGAAACUUGAGCUAAUACCGGAUAAGUGCGAGAGCAGAAAGAUUUAUCGCCGAAGGAUCGGCCCGCGUCCGAUUAGCUAGUUGGUGAGGUAAUGGCUCACCAAGGAGACGAUCGGUAGCUGGUCUGAGAGGAUGACCAACCACACUGGGACUGAGACACGGCCCAGACUCCUACGGGAGGCAGCAGUGGGGAAUAUUGGACAAUGGGCGCAAGCCUGAUCCAGCCAUGCCGCGUGGGUGAUGAAGGCCCUAGGGUUGUAAAGCUCUUUCGCCAGGGACGAUAAUGACGGUACCUGGAUAAGAAGCCCCGGCUAACUUCGUGCCAGCCGCCGCAGUAA